rnacentral:rRNA from 1 species
CCCUUAGACGUUCUGGGCCGCACGCACGCUACACUGAUCAGUGCAACAAGCAUCCGUCCUUGGCCGACAGGCCCGGGCAAUCUUUGAACGCUGGUCGUGAUGGGGAUAGACUUUUGCAAUUUUUGGUCUUCAACGAGGAAUUCCUAGUAAACGCAAGUCAUCAACUUGCAUUGAUUACGUCCCUGCCCUUUGUACACACCGCCCGUCGCACCUACCGAUUGAAUGGUCCGGUGAAGCCUCCGGAUUGGCGCGCACCUCGGUGCCGCCGAGAAGUUGGCUAAACCUUACCAUUUAGAGGAAGGUGAAGUCGUAACA